rnacentral:lncRNA from 1 species
GGAAGAGGAGCUCAAGGAACUGCAGGAUCCUUCGAGGUCAAGGCCAGGACACUCCAGGAGAGCUCUGGAUCACUUGGAGAUCAUUCCCAUGGAGCAACAUGUCUGGAAGAUGUGAACUGAGUGAAAAAACUCCAUGAUUUGGGCUGGUAAUAAAGGAUAUUCUUUCCACAAGGAGGUGAAGGAAGGAGGCAGCAGAGCCAAAGCAUCCAUUUCCCAGAGGAAUUGUCCUCCAGGGAGCCAAGAGACAAGAAGGGAGAAGGAGGAAAUAUCACCAAAAUCAAGACAUGCAUGGGAAAUAAGGAUUUCACCCCAAACCAGCUGCACAGCCUGAGAGAGAGGAGGUUUGGCACGCCCAUCCCCAGAGGUGUCCAG